UAAACUUCCAAAAUUUAGCUUUUUAGAUUUUUUUUCUAAAUACUAAUCUGGAAUAGCUGGUGGGUUUUUUUGGGGGGGUGAAGGGGGAGGGUAUAUUUUAUGCUUAUUGCUGUUUAGAAAUGAUUUUGCACAUUUGAAAAUGGCAUGGUGCAGAAUUAUAUUCAGGAAGAUUUUGGGGCGCUCAAAAAUAACGCAAGUGUUUCUGCAACAAAAGAAACUAAAGAGUAAUUCUAUCUUUCUCCAGGGAGUUUAUUCUUUGGUAUUACAAAACUGAUAUUAAAAUUUUCAAUCCCUUAUUUCCCCAGAGAAAAAAAAAAUAGUUGAGUUCUACCCAUCCCAUCUUUGAUAGAUCAUAUUUGAUUAUUAAUUUAUUAACAUAAUUUAGAAGGCUGGUGAUUUUACGUCUGCACUGAUUGAUGAACUUUUUUGUGGUAGACUGUUUUGCAUGUAUUAUACAGCUUCUUUCUCAGGUGAAUUUCCUCUUAGUAGUAAACAAAACCUCUUCAAUUCCAAAAUCUGCAUUGCAAACCUAUACUCAGAUUUCAAUCUACUUUGAAUUAUUCAUAUUUUCUUUGAAACUUUCUUUUUUAAACUCCUUUACUGUCAAUGAUGGUAAAAGGUAGAAAAAAAAUAUUCCCACUACUCUCAUUAACUGCACAGCACAUGACUAUUUUGUGCACUAGUGACCACUUCUAUUUAUAAAGUUAUUUCAUGUACUUGGAAGUCAAUAGUCAAAUUUUUGCUUUGCUGUUGUUGCUAUUCUUCUUUCUUCUACUGUGUUCGCAUACAAUGAUAAUGCUGUAAAUUUGCUUCUGGCACACAAAGUGAGAUUUAAAUAAUUAGCAAUCAACUCACAUUAUUUGAAACAUAACUGAUCUGUCACUUCAUUGGUCCUCUUUGAAGUUAGUUUACUGUAAUCCAUUAUUAGGGGCACUGGGGCAAAUCAGCUGGCAGGUUGGCAUCCCACUGGUUAUCACUGACUGUUUGUAGAUUUAAAAAAAUAUUUAACCGUAUUUAUGUUUUUGUCUUGAUAUAUUUCGUGAUGAACUGCUACAUGUGGACAAAUACACAUGUAUAUACCUUUGUGUUAGGACAUUCACAAGACAAGCAUGCAGUCCCAAGCCAGAAAUGGGCAUUUUUCAUUUCAGAGUCCUCAUGAUCUGUUCCUGAAUUACUUAAGGAUUUAGGAGCAGAGGAUGAGUGGCAAUUAGAAACACAAAUAAACAGCUAUUUUAUUUGGUGCAGGAAUUGACAUCUCAAAUUGGGAUCACCUAUUUUCCUCUACGCUCAAGGCCAGAUAAUUGAUGGAAAGAUGCACAGUGAAGCAGACCUUUCUGAAGCAUAUCACUCUGCACCUGAGAGAGUACUUAACCUGAAGGAAAUCAAUAAAAAAGUCUGGAUGAGCUGAUCCAACUAGAGAUGGCUGAAGAUCCCUCUGGACUGCAUGCUCCUUGGAAAGCACAUCUGAAGAUGAGCAUAUCACUCCUAGAAUUUGAAAGACAUUUGAACAUGAAAUUGAAUGGGUCUGCCUCAGUAAAUAUAGGAGCAUAACAUACAUAAUCAAAAAAUCUAAAAAUGACACAACAAAAGUUACAGGAACGCAAUCAAAAUUUCAACCACGCCUGAAUUAUCCUACAUUCAAAAGAAAGAAUACACAGGUGUAAUAGGAUACUCAGCAUGUAUACCUCCAACCACUAAGAUCAAGCCUAUCAACUACAUUAUAGAAGAGUUUACUUUUGCUGAAUUGUUAUGUUCUGUUUUAGAGGUAUCUUUUCAUCACUGAAGAACACAUCAAAAGAUUUUAGUCUUUGACAUUCUUAUCCAGGAUACGUUUCACAGUCUUUCAUCAGCCACUGAAACUGGAUUAGCACCAGAAAAUGUUUAACACACACUCUAUGAGCAAAGAAGAGACCAAGGGGCCUUUGGCUUGCAAAGAAUCUAUAAAAUGUGAUUAUUAAUUUCAAGGUAUCACACAUUUAAAAUAGAGCUCUUCAGCAUUCUUUAUAACUAAAAUAAUGAAUUGAUGAAGAGCUGAUGAAGAGCCUGCCAGAAGAUAAUGUCAGAAUCCAGAAACAAAAUAGCUCACUUAACAACUGAGAUGGGCUCAUAAAAACCUCAGAACAGAAAUGAAAC
ensembl:lncRNA